AAACCGCUUAGAGGCAAACGGGUGGAACCGCAAUGCGUCGACCCGGGGGAUUCAGCCAGGCCCGUAAAUACACCGGGACGGGCUUAGGACCGCGGAGCCGAAAAGGCCCGCGCCUUUGCUUGGUCUCCGGGCGGACUGGUGCACUUUCCUCGGGUCGAUGGCCACGACCGGCUCUCCGGCGGCCAGAAAGCUAGCUAAAGCGGGAAGGUGACCGUAGGCCCACCACAGCCUACGGUGUUAUAGCCCGGCUAGCCUGAGCGCUCGUCGGAGGGCCGAGGGAGAGCGCCGCACGUCGCUCACCCGCUGGCCAUCCUUGCUCGAGUCACAUGGGUUGGACUGCUCCGUCAGUGCUAUCCGACAGCGAGCGUAGGAAGGGCCGGCAAAGGUGCGACGAGGCAUCGGGCCAGUGGCGAAUCGGUCGGUCUUCCACCCGACCCGUCUUGAA
rnacentral:rRNA from 1 species